CCUUCAUGUACAAACGCUACUGAGUUACUUCCUUUUGCAAUAUAUGUAACCCUGCAAACAGGAGUUCAAGUUUGGGGUUAUGUAUCCUUCGUGUACAAACGCUACUGAGUUACUUCCCUUUGAAAUAUUUCACCAUUUGUACAACAUCAACGAGUUUACUGAAUAUCCAAGGAAGGAUUUUCUCCCACUUCAAAGGCUCUACAAACAUGAACAAACUCGUUCUGGUGCUCCUGCUUGUAGGCUGCGUCGCUCUGCUGACUCUUCCACAGGUUACUGACGGGGGGUUGAUUGAAGGUGGCUGCAAUUGCCAUUCAAUCAUCUGUACACAGGGUGAAAUCGACAAGGGGUGGUGCAACAAGAUGGAUGGUGUUGCGAGAUUGUGCUGCCCGAAAUG